UUUAUGGAGAGUUUGAUCCUGGCUCAGGAUGAACGCUGGCGGCGUGCCUAAUACAUGCAAGUCGAGCGAACGGACGAGAAGCUUGCUUCUCUGAUGUUAGCGGCGGACGGGUGAGUAACACGUGGAUAACCUACCUAUAAGACUGGGAUAACUUCGGGAAACCGGAGCUAAUACCGGAUAAUAUUUUGAACCGCAUGGUUCAAAAGUGAAAGACGGUCUUGCUGUCACUUAUAGAUGGAUCCGCGCUGCAUUAGCUAGUUGGUAAGGUAACGGCUUACCAAGGCAACGAUGCAUAGCCGACCUGAGAGGGUGAUCGGCCACACUGGAACUGAGACACGGUCCAGACUCCUACGGGAGGCAGCAGUAGGGAAUCUUCCGCAAUGGGCGAAAGCCUGACGGAGCAACGCCGCGUGAGUGAUGAAGGUCUUCGGAUCGUAAAACUCUGUUAUUAGGGAAGAACAUAUGUGUAAGUAACUGUGCACAUCUUGACGGUACCUAAUCAGAAAGCCACGGCUAACUACGUGCCAGCAGCCGCGGUAAUACGUAGGUGGCAAGCGUUAUCCGGAAUUAUUGGGCGUAAAGCGCGCGUAGGCGGUUUUUUAAGUCUGAUGUGAAAGCCCACGGCUCAACCGUGGAGGGACAUUGGAAACUGGAAAACUUGAGUGCAGAAGAGGAAAGUGGAAUUCCAUGUGUAGCGGUGAAAUGCGCAGAGAUAUGGAGGAACACCAGUGGCGAAGGCGACUUUCUGGUCUGUAACUGACGCUGAUGUGCGAAAGCGUGGGGAUCAAACAGGAUUAGAUACCCUGGUAGUCCACGCCGUAAACGAUGAGUGCUAAGUGUUAGGGGGUUUCCGCCCCUUAGUGCUGCAGCUAACGCAUUAAGCACUCCGCCUGGGGAGUAUGACCGCAAGGUUGAAACUCAAAGGAAUUGACGGGGACCCGCACAAGCGGUGGAGCAUGUGGUUUAAUUCGAAGCAACGCGAAGAACCUUACCAAAUCUUGACAUCCUUUGACAACUCUAGAGAUAGAGCUUUCCCCUUCGGGGGACAAAGUGACAGGUGGUGCAUGGUUGUCGUCAGCUCGUGUCGUGAGAUGUUGGGUUAAGUCCCGCAACGAGCGCAACCCUUAAGCUUAGUUGCCAUCAUUAAGUUGGGCACUCUAAGUUGACUGCCGGUGACAAACCGGAGGAAGGUGGGGAUGACGUCAAAUCAUCAUGCCCCUUAUGAUUUGGGCUACACACGUGCUACAAUGGACAAUACAAAGGGCAGCGAAACCGCGAGGUCAAGCAAAUCCCAUAAAGUUGUUCUCAGUUCGGAUUGUAGUCUGCAACUCGACUACAUGAAGCUGGAAUCGCUAGUAAUCGUAGAUCAGCAUGCUACGGUGAAUACGUUCCCGGGUCUUGUACACACCGCCCGUCACACCACGAGAGUUUGUAACACCCGAAGCCGGUGGAGUAACCUUUUAGGAGCUAGCCGUCGAAGGUGGGACAAAUGAUUGGGGUGAAGUCGUAACAAGGUAGCCGUAUCGGAAGGUGCGGCUGGAUCACCUCCUUUCUA
rnacentral:rRNA from 1 species